GGCAGCAGCAGCAGGGGCCGCUACGCAGCACCGUUAGAUCUACAGGGAGCGGUGCCAGGAGCGCGAGGGCGGCUGCUCGCGGUGCCGCUCAGUGGAGCCCACGGGCGGCUCUCCACGCCGCCUUAGGCCCUGCCCAGCGGAGAAGGGAGUCACUCACCCCGACUCGGCCGAGCCCCCCCGCCCGGGGACUGCGAGCCUGCCGUCCCAUGAAAGAGUGAGCAAGCGGCUGCACCAGCGGUUCCAAGUGUGGGUGGACAAAUGGACCAAGGAGCAUGUGACCUGUGAAAUGGCAGCUGAGACAAACAAGUGGCUAAUGGGAGAAGGGUUGGAGGGUUUGGUGCCCUGUACCACUACCUGUGAUACAGAGACCCUGCACUUUGUCAGCAUUAUCAAGUACUGUGUCAAAUACGGCACAAUAUUCAAGACACUGUAAAGUCCCUGAGUGAGGGAAGAUCACGUGGUGUGUGUGCGUAUGUGUGUAUCAAGGAAACGAGGAAGAUGCCUUUCUCCUUUCACUGUAUAUCUCCGUAACAUGGCCAGUUCACUAGUGCGAAGCUGGUACAGUCUGUCACCAGCAGGAUUUGGUUUAGGAAAACGAAUCUCUACAAACCUAAGCUGGAACUGUUGCCAACAGGCCUCUGACUUCAGCGUGCACUGUGGAGGGAAGGACCCUUUUCAGAAUUGAGUGAUCCUAGAGAAAUGCAGCUAGCUCGUACGCACCAGCAGUUUUGAGACUAGCUCCUCAAUGGCCUGAGCUUCAAGGGAAGAGAACUGGAUGUUGCAUACAUCCUGACCGGAGUGGUGCAUUUAAAGUUACAUGCUCAGAUAUGUCUUGAAACCCAGAGGUGCCUAUCACAACUGGAUUCUCCUCUGUUAGGCUGCUGCAGGUUUGCCAGGAUCUCACCCGGGGUCACCCAUCUGUGCAGUCCAGCUGUCGAGAACACCAUCUCCUGGAUCUGACCCUCGACUCCUCCCUCCUUUAUCCUGCUGGACUCCUGAUUCAGCCAGUUCAGAUUGGUCUGUCCUUUCUAGUGCCAGUGGGAUUGUUUUGUACCUGCUUCUUUACUAGUCUUUCCUAGUGCCAUGCACCAGCUUUUCACACACAUAUGCACACACAGCAGAAACAACACAAUUUUAACAUGUUCCCCUUCCUUUUUGUAAAUAAAUGUACAUAUUGUCAA